rfam:Peptoniphilus grossensis strain 35-6-1 unitig_0, whole genome shotgun sequence.
AUAAAUGCCAUGAAAGAGAAAAAGAUAUUUAAUGAGUCUUAAAGAGAGUGGGGAUGGUGAGAGCCCAUAGAUAAGUUAGUAUCAUAUAUUCACUCUUAAGCAUGAAGAUUGAACACGAGUAGAUCUUUACGGCAGUCACCGUUAUCAUAGACUAGAGAUUGUCAGAUCUUUAAAGAGGAAAUAUUUUUAUUUCGAAUUUAGGUGGUACCGCGAAUCCUUCGCCCUAUGU